ACAUGACCUAAUUGUUAUUUGCUCCCAUCAACAGGCCUUUAAGCUCAUUCUACGCCUCUCUCCUCCGUCUCCUCCACCGCGAAUCCUCUUCCACUGCAAAACCUCUUCUGCCAUCUCUCUCAAGACCCUCCCUCCAUAUUUCUAUCAAGACAAUGUUGGCCAUAAGCCAGAUGUUGAGAGAAAUGACAAAGAAAAAGCACUCAUUGGGGGAAUUGAUGAAGGGCGAGAAUGAUGAUGAUGUAGUGGGCGCAGAGCAUGGGGCUGGUUCUGGUGCCGAUGCCGGUGUCACGACGAUGGAUGGGAAGAGAAUGCUAGUUCUAUCAUUGGGCACAGGAUCAGCCAAGCGUAAAGAAAAAGUACAAUGCAGCCAAGGCAUCCGAAUGGGGCUUCCUGAUUUGGAUUUUCGACAAUGGCAGCACACCCAUCAUCGACAUUUUUGGUGAUGCUAGUUCUGAUAUUGUAGAUCUUCUUGUCUCCACUCACUUUCAGUCUCGUCAUCAUAGAAACAAGUAUCUUCGUAUUCAAGUACAUAUAUAGAUGAGGAAUCUGAGGAAGAUAAUGGUGAAGCUAGAGGUUGGUUUCUCAUUCUUGAUAGGCAACAAAUGAGAAAAAAUGAGUUAAGACUUGUGGAUGAUCAAAGCCUCUUCUUGCUACCAUCUCAAAACAUGUACAUCUAUGAUUGAACACAAUUUUUGGUGAUCCCACUCAGUCAAUGGUUGUGGAUCGAAAUGGCGAGGAGCAUUGCAAAGUUAAUUAACUUAAUUAUUAAUUGCAAGAGUUUGGCCUUUCUCCAACUUGAGUCUCAAAGCUUCAGAAUUGAUCUUGUCCAUCACAUGGUCUACAUCAUAAAGUACUUGUUUAAGCUCAUCAAGCCACUUCUUCACAUUUGGCUCUGUGAGUUAUUUCUCCUCAGCAUCAUUUAGCAGAACAACAGCAGAACAACAACUUAGUUAUAGAUAAUGAACAUUUUAUUAUGCUUAUUCUGAAUGGAAACCAUACCAAAUCACAUGUUAUUUUUAGUACAUAUAGUGUUGUUCUCCAAACUAUUUGGUAGCCCUGACAUUAAUUCUGAAUAAAACAAAGUAGUAGAAGUGGAAAUAUACCACUGGUUGCAUACGAUUCUUUCCAAUGGGAUAGUUAUAGUGAUUUGGGUUUUUCAUGGAAUAGGCAGUGAACCACAGUAUAAAGCCAGACAAGAGAUCCAAUAGGGAAUCCAAAGUUGAGGCAAUCACAGCUAGUGAUUUGCUCUCAAUUGAAGCAUAAACUUUCGCUGCAAACAGAACUAAGUUAGCUAUGUUUGAUGCAUUCACUGCCAACCUCUCACUCUUUGCUAACUGCUUCACUUCAUCCUGAAACCAAGCAUAAACAAAUAAAUAAAAGUGUUCAGUAACAGUAACAGUAGUUAAAAUAGGUUCAUAUUGUCACAUUUAACACAAUUUGAGGCUUACUCAUCAAAUGAUUAUGUGCUUAUACAAAUGAACUAAAUACCCUCAAAAGCAGUGCUAUAUAUCUGUGUCCAUUCCUUAAUGAUCACUUAAUCUCCUAUAUUUUCAAGUAAUAAUUGUCAAAUGAGACAUAAAGAAAAUUAAAAUUACUUUGCACUAAUUAAUAAUUUUGAUUUCAAAACUAAUCUAAGGUGGCAAAAUUAAUAAUUCAUCAAAAACUUUCACAAUAUUUACUAUAAUAUAAUGCAUGCUUUUAUAGCUCAAUUUAACCACUGAUCAUUCUAUGUAUUCUAGCUGCCUUUAAACAGUUAAAUGUACUAGUAUUAUAACAUAUACAUAUAUAUAUAUAUAUAAAUCAUUCCAACAAACAGUAUAUGUGUAUUAUAUGCACGAGUGACUAAUAUUCCUAUCAUAUUGGAGACAUAAAAAACUAUAGUCAAUUGUAUUGAUUUUCUUUCCGAUUAAGAAUCUAACUUUCUAUUUAGGAAAUUAAUAUAUAUUGAGAGAGAAAAACAAAUUUCAAACAUAUAGUGCUAUCACAAAAAUACAUAAAGUCAAAGUCAAACAAACAUGUGUCUAAUUUUCUACAUGUAAUUUUUGAGUUAGGCAAGUCAACCCUGUAAACGACCCAUUUAUUAGGGCGGUAGAGAAACAACAAGUUAGGGGCAGUCCCACAAUAUUCCACAAUCCAACAAUAUUCCUUCUCCUAAGAGUGUUGGAGUUAAAAAGGGCCAUAACUUUACAGGAGCAAGGAAUGCUUGCUACUUGCUCGAUUAAGACUUAGAGGUGCACGGAAUUCCUCUUGGGCCUGAUUUUAUGCGUGUAUGGGUUGAUGUUGUUGUUGUGCCUGGUGCUUAUUUAUUUCGUCCUAACUAUGCGAUGCUUACUAUACAAGAAUUUUUUGGUUCAACAGUUGUAUGGCCUUCUCAAAAGGUUAUUCCAAGAGAUUCAACAAGUCAAGUGCAAAAGAAAAUCUAAUUUGGAAGGCUUUGGUGUGCUGACAUUUGGAAGAUCAUGAAUUUCUACCUUUACUUUUGAAUAUGCAACUGUUUAAGACUAUUUUGUUGACUAUUGUGAGAAUGUUUUGUUUAUGUUAGUUAGACAUUGUUGAAUAUCUUAAGACUUUUGGAUUAUUUUUUAGAUAAUCUUGAAUAUAGUUUGACACAAUUAUUUGGUUAUAUGUGUUAUGAACCAUAUAAUUGGUACUCAAAAAUAUAUUUAUACAAUGUUAAGGGUGCCUUGAGUAUAUUAAAUGA